CCUACGGGGGGCAGCAGUGAGGAAUAUUGGUCAAUGGACGCGAGCCUGAACCAGCCAAGUAGCGUGCAGGAUGACUGCCCUACGGGUUGUAAACUUCUUUUAUAAAGGGAUAAAGUGAGGCACGUGUGCCUUUUUGUAUGUACUUUAUGAAUAAGGAUCGGCUAACUCCGUGCCAGCAGCCGCGGUAAUACGGAGGAUCCGAGCGUUAUCCGGAUUUAUUGGGUUUAAAGGGAGCGUAGAUGGGUUGUUAAGUCAGUGGUGAAAGUUCGCGGCUCAACCGCAAAAUUGCAAGUGAUACUGGCAGUCUAGAGUACAGUUGAGGUAGGCGGAAUGUGUGGUGUAGCGGUGAAAUGCUUAGAGAUCACGAAGAACUCCGAUUGCGAAGGCAGCUUACUAAACUGUCACUGACAUUGAUGCUCGAAAGUGUGGGUAGCAAACAGGAUUAGAUACCCCUGUAGUC
rnacentral:rRNA from 1 species